rnacentral:lncRNA from 14 species
CGGGAGGUUUGGACUGUGAGGGGAGGUUCGGGCUCUUUGGCUGUGGCUGUUCCCGUUCCCGUUCCCCUAUACUCCUCAGUGUUGCCUGACAGCUGUGGAGCCAAGAUGAUCAUCCCACAGGAUCAGAGGGAACUGAAGAUAAAGUCUGUGCUCCUAGUCCUUGCCUAUGUUCUUCCCAAAAGGUCUCUUAUAUUAACCGGGGGAAACAGGGAAGCAAGGGAAAGCUUUGUGGAGGUGAUGAAGACUUUCACCAUUGCAAGACUGAGAUUAAACACUACAAAGGGUGGUAUUGAUGUUGUAUCCCUUUUAAACCCAUGCAACUGGUAAAUCACAGCUGGUCUUACACCAUUUGAAAGUGUGGUGUCUGCAAGCAUCUCCCUUGUCACUGAGCUGAAUAGCAGUGCACCUCAAAGAAACAAAACACCGGAGUUGACUCACUUCCAGACCAAC